AUAUCUAGACAUGGAUACUGCUCUUCAUGGUUUGAAAACGAGCAACUCUACAUUCAAAUGGAGCUCUGUGAUUAUAGUUUAUCCAUUGGCAGGUAUUCUCACCCAUUCUCUGAGGUAAAUGCACUGAGAGCCUCUGUAUCAGGCUAUGUUGGAUCCCGAACCGACACGACGUCCUUCGGCAAGGGAAAUUCUUGAGACUCCCAUAUUAGAUAAGGUCAGAAAUCAUACCAAAUCUUAGGACAAUGUCAACCAUGGUAUCAUCUUAUUGUGUUCUCUUUUUCUCAGAUGUGCUUUGUUUGUGCAAUCCCUUGAUAUCAGCCUGCUAUUUUGUUA